GACGAACGCUGGCGGCGUGCCUAAUACAUGCAAGUCGAACGAACUCUGGUAAUGAUUGGUGCUUGCAUCAUGAAUUACAUUUGAGUGAGUGGCGAACUGGUGAGUAACACGUGGGAAACCUGCCCAGAAGCGGGGGAUAACACCUGGAAACAGAUGCUAAUACCGCAUAACAACUUGGACCGCAUGGUCCGAAUUUGAAAGAUGGCUUCGGCUAUCAAUCUUGAGUGGUCCCGCGGCGUAUUAGCUAGAUGGUGAGGUAACGGCUCACCAUGGCAAUGAUACGUAGCCGACCUGAGAGGGUAAUCGGCCACAUUGGGACUGAGACACGGCCCAAACUCCUACGGGAGGCAGCAGUAGGGAAUCUUCCACAAUGGACGAAAGUCUGAUGGAGCAACGCCGCGUGAGUGAAGAAGGGUUUCGGCUCGUAAAACUCUGUUGUUAAAGAAGAACAUAUCUGAGAGUAACUGUUCAGGUAUUGACGGUAUUUAACCAGAAAGCCACGGCUAACUACGUGCCAGCAGCCGCCGUAA
rnacentral:rRNA from 1 species